GGCGGACGGGUGAGUAACGCGUGGGAACGUGCCCUUGCUACGGGAUAGCCCUGGGAAACUGGGAGUAAUACCGUAUGUGCCCUUUGGGGGGAAAAGAUUUUAUCCGGGCAAAGGAUCGGCCCGCGUUGGAUUAGGUAGUUGGUGGGGUAAUGGCCUACCAAGCCGACGAUCCAUAGCNGGUUUGAGAGGAUGAUCAGCCACACUGGGACUGAGACACGGCCCAGACUCCUACGGGAGGCAGCAGUGGGGAAUCUUAGACAAUGGGCGCAAGCCUGAUCUAGCCAUGCCGCGUGAGCGAUGAAGGCCUUAGGGUUGUAAAGCUCUUUCAGGGGGGAAGAUAAUGACUGUACCCCCAGAAGAAGCCCCGGCUAACUCCGUG
rnacentral:rRNA from 1 species